UGGGGAAUAUUGCGCAAUGGGCGAAAGCCUGACGCAGCGACGCCGCGUGGAGGAUGAAGGUCUUCGGAUUGUAAACUUCUGUUAAGUGGGAAAAAAGACUUGUCCAUAAUACGGACGAGGGAUGAUGGUACCACUAGAGAAAGCACCGGCUAAACUCGUGCCAGCAGCCGCGGUAAUACGAGUGGUGCUAGCGUUAUUCGGAUUUAUUGGGCGUAAAGGGUGCGUAGACGGUAUGACAAGUCUGUUGUUAAAUUCCUCGGCUCAACUGAGGAUCUGCGAUGGAAACUGUCGUGCUAGAGGAUGGAAGAGAGAAGUGGAAUUCUUGGAGUAGCGGUAAAAUGCGUAGAUCUCAAGAGGAACACCGAUGGCGAAGGCAGCUUCUUGGUCCAUUCCUGACGUUGAGGCACGAAAGCGUGGGGAGCAAACAGGAUUAGAUACCCGUGUAGUCC
rnacentral:rRNA from 1 species